rnacentral:rRNA from 1 species
GAGUUUGAUCCUGGCUCAGGAUGAACGCUGGCGGCGUGCCUAAUACAUGCAAGUCGAGCGAACAGAUAAGGAGCUUGCUCCUUUGACGUUAGCGGCGGACGGGUGAGUAACACGUGGGUAACCUACCUAUAAGACUGGAAUAACUCCGGGAAACCGGGGCUAAUGCCGGAUAAUAUUUAGAACCGCAUGGUUCUAAAGUGAAAGGUGGUUUUGCUAUCACUUAUAGAUGGACCCGCGCCGUAUUAGCUAGUUGGUGGGGUAAUGGCUUACCAAGGCAACGAUACGUAGCCGACCUGAGAGGGUGAUCGGCCACACUGGAACUGAGACACGGUCCAGACUCCUACGGGAGGCAGCAGUAGGGAAUCUUCCGCAAUGGGCGAAAGCCUGACGGAGCAACGCCGCGUGAGUGAUGAAGGUCUUCGGAUCGUAAAACUCUGUUAUUAGGGAAGAACAAAUGUGUAAGUAACUGUGCACGUCUUGACGGUACCUAAUCAGAAAGCCACGGCUAACUACGUGCCAG